GAGUUUGAUCGUGGCUCAGAUUGAACGCUGGCGGCAUGCCUUACACAUGCAAGUCGAACGGCAGCAUGAUCUAGCUUGCUAGAUUGAUGGCGAGUAGCGAACGGGUGAGUAAUACAUCGGAACGUGCCCUGUAGUGGGGGAUAACUAGUCGAAAGAUUAGCUAAUACCGCAUACGACCUGAGGGUGAAAGUGGGGGACCGCAAGGCCUCAUGCUAUAGGAGCGGCCGAUGUCUGAUUAGCUAGUUGGUGGGGUAAAGGCCCACCAAGGCGACGAUCAGUAGCUGGUCUGAGAGGACGAUCAGCCACACUGGGACUGAGACACGGCCCAGACUCCUACGGGAGGCAGCAGUGGGGAAUUUGGACAAUGGGCGAAAGCCUGAUCCAGCAAUGCCGCGUGUGUGAAGAAGGCCUCGG
rnacentral:rRNA from 1 species